rnacentral:rRNA from 1 species
GACGAACGCUGGCGGCGUGCCUAAUACAUGCAAGUUGAGCGCUGAAGGUUGGUACUUGUACCAACUGGAUGAGCAGCGAACGGGUGAGUAACGCGUGGGGAAUCUGCCUUUGAGCGGGGGACAACAUUUGGAAACGAAUGCUAAUACCGCAUAAAAACUUUAACCACAAGUUUUAAUUUUGAAAGAUGCAAUUGCAUCACUCAAAGAUGAUCCCGCGUUGUAUUAGCUAGUUGGUGAGGUAAAGGCUCACCAAGGCGAUGAUACAUAGCCGACCUGAGAGGGUGAUCGGCCACCUUGGGACUGAGACACGGCCCCAACUCCUACGGGAGGCAGCAGUAGGGAAUCUUCGGCAAUGGACGAAAGUCUGACCGAGCAACGCCGCGUGAGUGAAGAAGGUUUUCGGAUCGUAAAACUCUGUUGGUAGAGAAGAACGUUGGUGAGAGUGGAAAGCUCAUCAAGUGACGGUAACUACCCAGAAAGGGACGGCUAACUACGUG